CCCACGUUCCAGUGGGUGAGGGGCUGGAGGGAGCCAGCUGCUGGACCAGGGCUCACAGGAUACAGCAGGUAGAAGACUUGGGUGCCGGGUCGCCAUUGCAGAUUUCUGUGCCCACUGUGAGAGAAGACAGGGGCCUUCACUUUGGCCUCGUGCUCGUCAGCCAGUGCUUUCCACUCCUUCCUGUUGUUCUGAAGUCGGUCAAACAUGGGCAGGAUCUCUUCAUGGAAACGGGAGAACUCCUGGAGAAAACAAACAUGUGUCCGUCCCCUCUGCUCCUGGAGGGCUGGGGUGCUUGUCUCUCUGGCCAGCCCCUGUGGAUGGAGCUGAGAAAGGUCGCUGUGAGCCCCACCCACACCCCUGCCAGCUCCUGGCUACUCUUCCGCCAACACCCAUCACCGUCUCCUUGGGCUUCGCACCUUGUACACAAACGUGCACACGAAGUCGAUGAAGCCAACCUGCAGCUUGGGGAGCUCGUCCGCCUUGUUCCUGUCCAUCAUGGGCUUGUGGAGGAAGCAAAGACAGCUGGCCCAGCGCCCUCUGCUCAGGCCCAGCCAGCCCUACCCUGUAGUUCCAAUGAACACACAAGACAGAACGAGCAGAGCACAGGGGCAAAGAUGCAGCCACAGGGCCAAGCUCAGUGCCAGAGCUGGCCUGGAAGCAGAGAGCCUCUUUGUCAGCUGCCCAGGCUGCCCCUACCCACUCCUGAGCCUCUGCCCCUUAAGUGGGCCACAGCUGCCUCAACCAAGGGUCUUCUGUUCACAGGGCACUGUCCCCAGUGUUGACCUCAGGUUGCAGUUGCUGGCCAGUCACUGAGCUGCCCAGGCCCCAGAUGAGCUGUGGAACCUGUACCUAGCAUGCAACCUGUGGCACAAUCAUUUGCCUGGUUGGAGACCCUUCUCCCACCUUGUGCCAAGAGGCUGGAGCAGCGUGGCCAGGUGCCGUCCUGUACUAGCAGUGUGUCCAUCUUGCAUGGAUGCCGGUCUUGCCCUGGACUCCCACCCCUGCUUUUCCUGCCCUGCACUGUCCCUGCAGCUGUCCUGCCUGCCUGGGGAAUAUCCGGGAGCCACUUGUACGACUUGUACUCGUGGCUCCUGGUCAGGAGACCCUCACCUCUGGGUGGGCAUCACCAGGCCCUGCAUGCCAUCUCACCAGAGGAGAAGCUAUCUACUCUCACAUAACAUGACCACACACAGGAGGUGAAGACCUCAGAGCCCCCAGGUCCCCCGCACCACGGAGGGUCCACUCUCCGACAGGGCAGAAGCUUCUGGAAGCAACACUCACAAUGGGCUGCUGAUCCAAGACUGUCCUUUCCAAGUCCCCUUGUUCCCAGAACUCAGCGGCCACCAGCAGAGCAACCUGGCAGCACACAGAGGCAGUGCCCUUGGUUCUGCGUGCUCAGGGGUCCUGACCUAUGGCCGCACCCCAGCCUGGGCCCCUCAAAGGCCACAUGGUGGCGUUGCACUGGAGCACCUGGAGCUCUCAGGCUCCACUGGGCCGGUUUAGUCAUUAGGUGCCCCGCUCCGCACAUGGGCAGACCCCAUGGCUGCCCUCAGCAUGGCUGCUCCCCUCUGAGCUCCCCAAAUGCAGACCCAGGAGGCCCUGGAAGGGUGACUGGGUCUGGCCAGCCAGGCCUGACCUUGCUCUGGACCUCCCAGGGCUUGGUAAUGGCAGACAGGUCACAGGCAGUCAUCAUCAUGGCCCUGCCGGCAGACAGAGCAGAGCCAUGAGUUCUCGCUGGUGCCCUCGGCUCCCUGAGACAGGCCUGGGGCAAGCGCCUGUCCUGGGGCACCGUCUCAAGGUGGAGGAAGGGAGCUGAGGGUGAAGAGAGGACUGCUAGCGGCCACAGCCCAGGACUCGUCCAUCUGACCCUAGCUGUCCCUCGGGGCUCCUCUCCCAGGUCUGCAGGAUGGAGUGGGCUCACAUGACUAUCUCCUUCCGCGUGGUCUCCAGAGACAGGUACUCCACCCAGCUCUUCUUGUCUGCAUAGUUCUUGGACUCAUCCACGAUCUUCUGGAACAUGGUCCUCUUCCUGGAUGUGGGAAGGAGGGGGAAGGUGGUGGCCAGUCCCACAGGCGCACUCCCGCCCCCACCUCCUGGCGCGCACUUGAAGUAGAGGGCCAGGUCGGUGGCGAUGAUGGCGAUGUCCAUGAGUAUUUACUAAGGUUCACUCCAAAACAGCCGGCAGCCACUCUGUUCUCUGAGGGGCAUGAGGAAAGGUGCCUGACACCCUCUGGGCUGGGACGGAGCUGUGGAGCUGAGGACAGGACUGAGGAGGAGCCCGCAGGUGGGAGCACAGGCGCGGGUCCAGGGCUGAGAGCCACAUCGUUCCCAGGUGACCCCGUGGGACUCUGGUAACUUUCUCCUUGGUUGAGGCACUGCUUCCAUUCCCUGAACCUCACGCAAACCAGUUAUUGCCUAGUGAAGCGCCAAAUGAAAAAAUUCCCUGGAAAUGUUACUGGUCAAAUGUUCAGUCCAUCAACCCAUCACAAAUGUGUCCACCUACCGUUCCAAACACCAUUCAUCUACCAACCAUCCCAAAUCAAAGAUCAGGCAUCCGGCCCCAACCACUGGACAUCUACGUCCAUAAACAUCCUCUCAGACAUCUACGUCCAUAAACAUCCACUCGGACAUCUACGUCCACAAACAUCCACUCGGACAUCUACGUCCACAAACAUCCACUCAGACAUCUACGUCCACAAACAUCCACUCGGACAUCUACGUCCACAAACAUCCUCUCGGACAUCUACGUCCACAAACAUCCUCUCGGACAUCUACGUCCACAAACAUCCACUCGGACAUCUACGUCCACAAACAUCCUCUCGGACAUCUACGUCCACAAACAUCCACUCGGACAUCUACGUCCACAAACAUCCACUCGGACAUCUACGUCCACAAACAUCCUCUCGGACAUCUACGUCCACAAACAUCCUCUCGGACAUCUACGUCCACAAACAUCCUCUCGGACAUCUACGUCCACAAACAUCCACUCGGACAUCUACGUCCACAAACAUCCUCUCGGACAUCUACGUCCACAAACAUCCUCUCGGACAUCUACGUCCACAAACAUCCUCUCGGACAUCUACGUCCACAAACAUCCACUCGGACAUCUACGCCCACAAACAUCCACUCGGACAUCUACGUCCACAAACAUCCACUCGGACUUCUACGUCCAUAAACAUCCACUCGGACAUCUACGCCCACAAACAUCCACUCGGACAUCUACGUCCACAAACAUCCACUCGGACAUCUACGUCCACAAACAUCCACUCGGACAUCUACGUCCACAAACAUCCACUCGGACUUCUACGUCCAUAAACAUCCACACACUCUCCUACUAGUCCACUGCUCUGUCCUCAUCCACACACUCUCCUACUGUUCCACUG